rnacentral:pre_miRNA from 1 species
GUAGUACUCCCUUCGUCCCAAAAUUCUUGUCUUACAUUUGUUUAGAUACGGAAGUAUCUAACACUAAAAUGUAACUAGAUACAUAUGUAUUUAGACAAAUUUAAGACAAGAAUUUUGGGACGGAGGGAGUACAAA